AGAGUUUGAUCCUGGCUCAGAUUGAACGCUGGCGGCAUGCCUUACACAUGCAAGUCGAACGCGAAAGGGGGGGCAACCCCCCGAGUAGAGUGGCGAACGGGUGAGUAAUACAUCGGAACGUGCCCAGUAGCGGGGGAUAACCUCUCGAAAGAGAGGCUAAUACCGCAUACGUCCUACGGGAGAAAGAGGGGGUCGCAAGACCUCUCACUAUUGGAGCGGCCGAUGUCGGAUUAGCUAGUUGGCGGGGUAAAAGCCCACCAAGGCUACGAUCCGUAGCUGGUCUGAGAGGACGACCAGCCACACUGGAACUGAGACACGGUCCAGACUCCUACGGGAGGCAGCAGUGGGGAAUUUUGGACAAUGGGCGCAAGCCUGAUCCAGCCAUGCCGCGUGGGUGAAGAAGGCCUUCGGGUUGUAAAGCCCUUUCGGCUGGGACGAAAAGGUCCGUGCUAACACCACGGAUCCAUGACGGUACCAGCAGAAGAAGCACCGGCUAACUACGUGCCAGCAGCCGCGGUAAUACGUAGGGUGCAGGCGUUAAUCGGAAUUACUGGGCGUAAAGCGUGCGCAGGCGGUUUGCUAAGAGAGAUGUGAAAUCCCCGGGCUUAACCUGGGAACUGCGUUUCUAACUGGCAAGCUUGAGUGUGGCAGAGGGGGGUGGAAUUCCAGGUGUAGCAGUGAAAUGCGUAGAGAUCUGGAGGAACACCGAUGGCGAAGGCAGCCCCCUGGGCUAACACUGACGCUCAUGCACGAAAGCGUGGGGAGCAAACAGGAUUAGAUACCCCGGUAGUCC
rnacentral:rRNA from 1 species